GCGCGGCGGCGGCGAGGCCGGGGGAGCGGGGGGCGCCGCCGCCGAAGACCAUGAGGAAAUUUAACAUCAGGAAGGUGCUGGACGGCCUGACGGCGGUCUCCUCCGCCGCCUCGGCGUCGUCCGCCGCGCAGCAGCAGCAGGCGGGGAACCGGGAGACCGAAAUCCAGGAGACGCUCCAGUCCGAGCACUUCCAGCUCUGCAAGACUGUACGCCAUGGUUUCCCCUAUCAACCUUCAGCCUUGGCAUUUGAUCCUGUUCAGAAAAUACUGGCCAUCGGGACUCAAACUGGAGCACUAAGGCUCUUUGGUCGGCCAGGAGUUGAAUGCUACUGUCAACAUGACAGUGGAGCUGCAGUAAUCCAGCUUCAGUUCCUGAUUAACGAGGGAGCUCUUGUGAGUGCCUUGGCUGAUGAUACCUUACACCUCUGGAACUUGCGUCAGAAGAGACCUGCUAUACUUCAUUCACUCAAAUUUAACCGAGAACGGAUAACAUUUUGUCAUCUGCCUUUCCAAAGUAAAUGGCUAUAUGUGGGCACCGAAAGAGGAAACAUUCACAUUGUCAAUGUGGAAUCAUUUACUCUCUCAGGCUAUGUCAUCAUGUGGAAUAAAGCCAUUGAACUGUCGUCCAAAUCUCACCCAGGACCUAUUGUCCACAUUAGUGACAAUCCAAUGGAUGAAGGAAAGCUUUUGAUUGGCUUUGAGUCUGGAACAGUGGUAUUAUGGGAUCUGAAGUCAAAGAAGGCAGAUUACAGAUACACACACGAUGAGGCUAUCCACUCUGUGGCUUGGCAUCAUGAAGGAAAACAAUUUAUUUGUAGCCAUUCAGAUGGUACCUUGACCAUAUGGAAUGUAAAAUCUCCUACCAAACCUUUCCAGACAAUCACUCCACAUGGAAAGCAGCUGAAGGAUGGAAAGAAGCCAGAACCCUGCAAACCUAUUCUUAAGGUGGAAUAUAAAACAACUAGAGCUGGGGAGCCUUUCAUCAUUCUCUCAGGAGGCUUGUCAUAUGACACUGUAGGAAGACGACCGUGUUUAACAGUUAUGCAUGGAAAAAGUACUGCUGUGCUAGAAAUGGAUUAUUCUAUUGUUGAUUUUCUAACCCUCUGUGAAACACCAUAUCCUAAUGACUUUCAGGAACCAUACGCUGUAGUUGUUCUCCUAGAAAAGGACUUAGUACUGAUUGACCUUGCACAAAAUGGGUACCCUAUAUUUGAGAAUCCCUAUCCUUUGACUAUACACGAAUCUCCGGUUACCUGUUGUGAAUAUUUUGCCGAUUGUCCUGUGGACCUCAUACCUGCACUCUAUUCAGUUGGCGCUCGACAGAAACGUCAAGGUUACAGUAAGAAGGAAUGGCCUAUCAGUGGAGGCAACUGGGGUUUGAUCACUCAGAGUUAUCCAGAGAUAAUUAUUACAGGGCAUGCUGAUGGGUCAAUCAAGUUUUGGGAUGCCUCAGCAAUAACGCUGCAAGUGCUCUAUAAGCUAAAAACAGCCAAAGUAUUUGAAAAAUCCCGGAAUAAAGAUGACAGGCCAAACACAGAUAUAGUAGAUGAAGAUCCAUAUGCUAUUCAGAUCAUCUCAUGGUGUCCAGAAAGUAGAAUGCUGUGCAUAGCUGGAGUUUCUGCACAUGUCAUUAUUUACAGGUUCAGCAAGCAGGAAGUGACAACAGAAGUCAUUCCGAUGCUGGAGGUACGUCUGUUAUAUGAAAUAAAUGAUGUUGAGUCUCCAGAUGGCGAGCAGGUGCCACCUUUACCAACUCCAGGCACAGGUUCCAAUCCUCAGUCCAUUGUUCCCCAGUCUCAUCCAUCUACUAGUAGCAGUUCAUCUGAUGGACUUCGUGAUAAUGUCCCAUGUUUAAAAGUUAAAAAUUCUCCUCUCAAGCAGUCUCCAGGCUACCAAAUUGAGCUAGUUAUCCAGCUAGUAUGGGUGAGUGGAGAACCUCCUCAACAGAUAACCAGCUUAGCAGUCAACUCGGCAUAUGGCCUAGUAGUUUUUGGAAACUGUAAUGGUAUUGCGAUGGUUGAUUACCUCCAGAAGACAGUGCUCUUGAAUCUAGGCACUAUUGAACUGUAUGGCUCCAAUGAUCCUUAUCGCAGGGAGCCACGAUCUCCCCGAAAAACUCGGCAACCGUCUGGAGGUAUGCUGACUGUGGCUUCUUGCAUGUGCGGCCUUUCUAACUUAUAUUCAGAGUCUGUGAAAAAGCUUCGCACGUCUUAUUUAACAGGUCUUUGUGAUAUUAAUGAAGGUACAAUGGUGCCAGAAGACCGCUGCAAAUCGCCUACUUCAGGUUCUGGUUCACCAAACAAUUCUGAUGAUGAUCAAAAAAUGAAUAAUUUUAUAGAAAAGGUGAAGACCAAAAGCAGAAAGUUUUCCAAGAUGGUAGCCAAUGACAUAGCAAAGAUGUCCAGGAAGCUAAGUUUGCCAACUGAGUUAAAGCCUGAUUUAGAUGUCAAAGACAACUCUUUCAGUCGAUCCCGGAGUUCUAGUGUAACUAGCAUUGAUAAAGAGUCACGCGAGGCAAUUUCAGCUCUUCAUUUUUGUGAGACUUUCACAAGAAAGACUGAUACAUCACCUUCCCCAUGCCUGUGGGUUGGGACCACGCUGGGUACAGUGCUUGUCAUUGUACUGAAUUUACCCCCAGGAGGAGAGCAAAGACUUCUUCAGCCAGUAAUUGUUUCUCCUAGUGGAACCAUCCUGAGGCUAAAAGGGGCAAUCUUGAGAAUGGCUUUUCUGGAUACCACAGGAUCUUUGGUCCCACCAGCACAUGAACCCUGGAGAGAACUCAAUGUUCCUGAAGAUAAAGAUGAAAAAGAUAAAUCGAAAAAGCGACGACCUGUCUCAGUGUCCCCCUCUUCCUCUCAGGAAAUCAGUGAAAACCAAUAUGCAGUGAUAUGUUCAGAAAAGCAAGCAAAAGUUAUCUCACUGCCAUCUCAGAACUGUAUUUAUAAGCAAAACAUAACAGAGACUUCUUUUGUUCUUCGUGGAGACAUAGUGUCAUUGAGUAACAGUAUCUGCCUUGCAUGUUUCUGUGCCAAUGGACAUAUUAUGACUUUUAGUUUGCCAAGUUUAAGGCCGUUGUUGGAUGUAUAUUACCUGCCACUCACCAAUAUGCGGAUAGCCAGAACAUUCUGCUUCACCAACAACGGACAAGCACUCUAUCUUGUCUCACCAACUGAAAUACAGAGGCUCACCUACAGUCAAGAAACAUGUGAAAAUCUUCAGUUGGAGAAUCAGCAUCUGGGAAGGCAUCAAGGAGUCUUGCCCAGCAUAUUCCAGGGCCUGGGGGUAUUGAAGGUGUCAAAGGAGCAGCAUCUGGUGUAGUUGGUGAACUAGCACGAGCCCGGUUGGCGCUAGACGAAAGAGGACAGAAACUAGGAGAACUGGAAGAAAAAACUGCAGCUAUGCUUUACAGUGCUGAUUCUUUCUCUAAACACGCUCAUGAGAUGAUGUUGAAGUACAAAGACAAGAAGUGGUACCAAUUCUGAUGAUGCUCAUCAAUUACAUCUGUUUAAUUUUGUCCUGAUGAAAAAAAAUCUUGGUUUUUCAUUAAUUUUGGCAGGACCUUCGAAAUUCAAAGGAGUAUUUACCAUUGGAUACUGUUGUUUCCUAGCACAAAUCACACACUGUUUUACCUCAGUCAUGGCUUUAACUGAGGAGCUUUGUAUUUAAAAGAAAUACACACAAAAAACCCAAACUUCAGUGUUUCUUAGCUGUUGGUUAGCUGAGAGUUGGAACAAAGAAGGUAACUGGAACAUGUGGAAAAGAGGGUAAAGGGAAAACGUAGUGUGAGAUGGGCAGGGGCAAUGCAGGGUCAAUCCUGUGUUAAUAUUUCAUAUGCCAGAAGUUUUUGUGCUAUUGUAAUUGCUGCCAGUGUUAUACCCUCCUGUGAGGAGAGGCAAUAAAUCAGGGGUCCAAGAGCUGGAAUAAAGUUGUCUGUCUUGCUGGACGGUAGCUGACUUACACUUACCCUCUAAGACUCACUAUAUUUACCAUUAUUGUUGAAGAAGAGUUCAAGUUUGCUGUCACUUCUUUCAUCGGAAAAGCUGGAAGCUUGGAAGAUUUCUUGUUGAAAAUUGUAUACAUAGUUGACCUGUGCAUAGUCUUUUCUUGGACCCCUGAUCUAGUAUUCUUGUAUUCACAUCAUAUUCUGUGAAGUGCAAAACAAGAGAAUACACAAUUUUUGCAUUAAAAAAGUCAAGUGAAUAAUAUGACUGGAAUGUGUCAUGCUGGGAGUUUUCAUUUGUGUUACGGCUGUGCAAUGUGAAAUGUGGUAACAUCUUCAUUGUGGUAAGAAUACUUCAACUUCUGUUCAGUUAAAUAUUAUUUUUUGCCAAAAAUAGUUAUUGGUUCAGUUUGUGUAACAUUUAGAAUUGGCUGUGGGUUCCAUUCAUGCUGUGAACUUCUAUAAAUGUUUAACAGAAUGUAUCUUUACAGCCAUUAAUUAAAAUAGCUGAGAUAGUUUUGAGCAAAACUUAAGUUCUAGAUGCCCCCCUAGUCCUUUACUGUGAAAUCAGAUAAUCUUGGACUCAGGUUUUCAAACAGUUUUACACUCUGUGGAGGUGCUGAUGCAUGAAUAAUGGCAAGCAUCUAAUAUUUAAUAAUUGUCAGUAUAUUGUUUAGCAAAUUUCUAAAUCCUGCUAGUAGAGGUAUUUUACAAGUACCUAUCUCAGCCCCACCCAGCACUAAAGGCCUAAAGUUUGGAUUUAGUCUCUAAAGCAGUGUUUUCAAUGUGGGCAGUGGUAAGUGUCCACUAAAACUUCAGGAACUGGUGAAAUAAUGUUCAGUUUGGGUGAGGUAAAUAAUAUAGCUGAGCUAACUUGUUAAUGGCUGCUGCACUAAAGCUGUAACAGUGGGAAUGACCAGAGCUCUUUUAAAAAGAGAGGAUUCCUUAAAAUAAAGGUUUGCAUUUCAAAAACUUAUUUAGACUUUCUUCCUCAAAGCAGGAAUAGUUACUGAUUGAUUUUGUUUUAUAAAAGGGAGUACUUACAAGCUGAUAGGUCUACAUUGUCUGAAAUUAAUCAUUUGGGUUUGCUUCUCCAAGCAUCACAUUCUGUGUGGUGUUUUUGCACACUUUCUGAAUGUUCUCAAAGCAAAACCUUAGUUGUAUUUGUAUUGUGAAGUGAUGUUGCAGGUACAUAGAUGAGGCAACCUUACAAAACAUUUAAAGCAUGCAAAAUAUUGAAGUUACUGAUGGUUCUUAAUUCAUUUUUCAAAUGAAAGGCAAAUAUGUUUGGGCUUUGUAGCACAAAUUGAUAAAUUUUCUGAUUUUAUGUAUGGUAACAAUUUAAAAAGACAAGUGAAUUCUGUUGCCAGUGUGAGGGCAUGCCAUACCAUGUCCACUGUUUAAAGAACUUAGCAAAUCAGAACAUGACAACUUGAACAAGUAGCUUUGAUUUCUUGAUGGCUCUGUCCCAUACCUACUGAGUCAAUGGUAACUCCAGUUACUUAACUCAGCUUGCCACACAAUUUUUGCCUCUGCAUGUUAAUUCCUUUUCUAGUGUCCAAUUAAUGCAUAAUUAAAUUAACACUAUUUUGUUAAAAAUUCAGGUAGAAGAAAACUAGAUAAACUACUAUCCAUACCAUUUCCAAAAAUAAAACACCCUAGCUGACACUUGUCUCCUUCCUUAUCUCACAUUUAUAAAUUGAGAUGACUGAUUAUUAUUAGACCUGGUGAAGAUGAACUAUAUUUCAGAGCUACAGAAUCCUGGAAAAUUAGUCUGGUCAGGCUCUGUGGGAGAGGAUGGCAAAAGUACUCUUCAGCAAAUCAUGGUAUCAAUUCAAUGGAAGAUGACCUUGGUGUGAAAGGAAAGCCUACUUAACUUUCUCAUCAAUAAACAUUUGACAACCACCAGCAAGCAAAAAAAAGAGGCAAUGAGAGACCAUCUGCCAGUACAAGAAGAGUAGUGGCUUAUUUGGUAUUAUAGAAUUUAUCAUAGCUGAAUCUUUUUUCUGUUGCAUAUGUUCAGAGCAUGCUUCUAAAGUUGAAAACUAAUGAAAUGAUUACUCAUGAGAUGAAUACACAAAUGGUUCUUGGUCAAUAAAAGGGGCUAUGUACAAUUUUAUUCUAAAGCGUUCCUUUUUCCUUCUCUGUGGAAGGAAGUUGAUCAUACAUCAUUGCAUCUUAUUCUGCUAUUGGUGGUGCACCUUUUGUACAGCAAAGUAUAUUGAAAUCCUUAGGGUAAGCACCCCUGGUUUUUUUGCUAGCAUUUUAGUUGUGUGAAACUUUUUUAGAGUGUCUGGAAAACUAUAAAAUACAAUUGAGCUAUUACUUUUUUUAUUUUUUUUUGAUGGAAGUGUAAGAAACUGCUGCUACCUAUCUGUUUAUGUGUAGUGUGUCUCAUUAGGAACUGUAAACUGAAGAAGCUUUUCUUCACCUUAGUCCUGCCAAAUUGUAACUUUUGAAUGUUAAUAUGUGUAAAUAUGCGUGUAUUCCAAAUAAGUCUGAAAGUGUUACACCACAGGCAUCUCCAGUGAUUUGUUCUUCAGCAAACAGUCAGUUAUAAAUUAUAGUAAUAUAGCUGUGUUCCUUGUCUGUCUUUAUGCAAAGAUUUUUGCCUGAGGUGGUACUUGUAUGGCAGGUGAUGUUGGAAGGCUACAUCCAAAGGAGGAUUUUUGGAAGCAAGUUCAUUUCCUUUUUUUUCCUUUUUGCUUUCCUUUUCUCUUUUCCAUUUUGCGUUUGGGGUUGGUUUUUUUUGCUUAAUUAAUGGCACUGAUCCUACCUGGACUUUUAAACUUGAAUUUUUCCUGCACUUUAAUUCAAUCAUGGUAUUUUAUUCCUUAAUUUUGUUUUUACAUUUGUGCAGUUCAGGUUCAUUAUCUGUAUAUAAACACACAUGUUCAAUAAAGACUUUAGAACAGAUUACUUUCAGGCACACUUGCUAAUUAUGUGACUAUCAUUUCAAAUGUGUGUUUUCUUAGCAAAAUAUGUAUAUACAAGUAUAUACAAUAUAGAAUCUAAUGAAAGGCACGUAUCCUGUGUCAGCAUUCAGUUUAUAAAUUUCUGCAACACUUUCAGAUUUGUUACUAGAUAAUACAAUAAAAUCUGUUAUAUUUAUACAUACUGCUUAAGAAUAUACUUUUAGUUUUAAAUAAUUUUUAUAUGUACACUUCUACCUUUAAUUUUAAAAAUACUUAUGUUCAAUUUUUAAGUCAAAGUACUUAAAGUAUGUAUAUUAUCCAUAGAAGAAGUUGUUUUAAGCUUAUGAAUACAUUCAUAUCUCAUAUCGAGAUGAUACAAUUACUAAGCAAUGAAAACAAAUAGCCCAUUUUGCUUUGCAGAAAAUAAUCAUACUUAUUUUUACUUCUCAUUAUAAACAUUCUUAAACAAUUCCCGAAGUAUGGAGAGGGAAGAUAGUACAUUCAGAAAACUAACCUAAUGUCAAAGUUUUCUCAAUAGCUGCAGUUUGUGGCUGACUGGUUUUCUAUGAUUUGAUUUAUUUUUUUUUCAGGUAUACACAUGAAAGACUUUUUUCAGCUUUAUUCCUUGGACUCUUAAAAUUCCCCAAAAUUUAAGUGAGGUUUGUCCAAUAAAUAGUUUCUUUGAGUAAUGUAUGAAUUUUGAUUAUACAUCAGCUCUUUACAUAUAAA